rnacentral:rRNA from 1 species
UACGGAGGGUGCGAGCGUUGUCCGGAAUCAUUGGGCGUAAAGGGCGCGUAGGUGGCCCGGUCAGUUCGUGGUGAAAGCGCGGGGCUCAACCCUGCGUCGGCCAUGAAUACUGCCGCGGCUGGAGCACUGUAGAGGCAGGCGGAAUUCCGGGUGUAGCGGUGGAAUGCGUAGAGAUCCGGAGGAACACCGGUGGCGAAAGCGCUCAUCUGGCCCAAUACUGACGCUGAGGCGCGAAAGCUAGGGGAGCAAACGGG